rnacentral:misc_RNA from 1 species
GAACCAUUCUAUUCUGUUCCACUGAUUUUUCAUAUAAUCUUACAUAUAGUUGAGAAAACUACCUCACUGAAUUAAUUUUAAAAAAUAUAUUAUAUUCUACAAUUACUCUUCCUCGAAAUGGCUCUUUCCAGAGCAUAGGACAGAUGAAGAGGGAAAAAUUGGAGAACCUUCUUAAUGGCCUAAUCUAUAUGGAAACAACAAUGGGUGGGGGGGAAGGAUACAAUACAAUAAUUACAUUCCUACUUAUGCAUUUAUAUGGGAAAAGAAAAGAAACAAAACAAGAUGAAAGAGUAAGAAAAGUAGAAUAUGGGUCAAGGGCCUCAAGGCCUGUUAAUAUCCAUUUGAUGUUUUCUGGGAUUUCUUUCUGAAAUUUGCAACGCUGCAGUGGGGACAAAUGUACUCCAAUCCAUCUGUCUUGGCAUAGUCCUUAAAUGCACCAAGCCCCUGCCUCCUGUCACAGCCAAAAUGAGCCCAUUCACCACAUAUUCCACAGUUCACCCAGUCACCAGCUGCACUACUGUGACACAACAGGCAGCAUUCUCCAUCUACAUCAUCAUGGGCUAACUCAUAUUCUAAAAGGUAAGUUUCGUAAUGUCUUUUCAAUGUAUUGCCAACACCCUAGUAAUCAUUAAGCAGACAAAAAGCAUCAAGUUACUCCAAAAUGGCACAUGACAAGCAGUUCCCUAUUAGUUUGGGAAGCAUUAAAUUGCCGUUCUCUAAUGCUUAAUUGUAAAAAUUUCAACAUAUUUAUGGUACUCAUAGUUUAGGCCAAGCCUUCCAACACUGCCACAAACUCUAAAGCUUACGAGUACGUAAAGCAUCUGUAAAUUAUCAACAUGAAAAACUAGAAAGAAUUAUAGGGAAUUAUAAGGAACCAUACAGUCAUUCUAUUGGUCAAUGU